rnacentral:tRNA from 1 species
GCUGGGAUAUAGCUUAGUGGUAGAGCACUUGCCUAGCAUGCAUGAGGCCUUGUGUUCAAUCAAUCCCCAGCA